AUUUUAAAGUUGCAUUAUGGGAAAUAUCCUCUUGGCGCCAUUAAAAUACAGUAUUUUUCAUUUACUGUAAAUCCAAAUACAGUAAAAAAAAUGAGCGGGAAACCUGACCAAUGACAGAAAGGCUUUUUUUCUGCUUGGAGAAAGAAGAAGAAGAAGAAGAAGAAGAAGAAGAAGAAGAAGAAAAAGAAAAGGAAGACGCACACACCUCGCAGCUGCAAAUCACUUCUAAAGAGAAACUCUCAUCUUCUGAGACAAGAAUGAAGAGAGCAUCUAGACGACUGCUACUCUUGCAGAGCUCCCGAGGCCUGGGUCCUGCAGACUUCCUACUGACGAUCUGUGAUGUCCUGCCUCUGCACUGCAGGCUGAGGUUGUUUCAGACUGCGAAGGGAUGAACCAGAGAUGACCCAGGCUGUGGACGGAC
rnacentral:lncRNA from 1 species